rnacentral:rRNA from 1 species
GAUGAACGCUGGCGGCGUGCCUAAUACAUGCAAGUCGAGCGCACAGGCGAGAAGCUUGCUCCUCUGACGAUUUCGGCGCGCGUGUGUGACACGUGUGGAUAAUCCCCCUAUGAGACUGAGAUAACUUCGGGAAGCUGGCUCAUAUACCGUAUUAUAUAUUGUACCACAUGGUUCAAUUGAAAAAGACAGUUUUGUUGUUACUAAUUGAUCGUGCCGUGUCGCAUUAGCUAGUUGGUAAGGCAACGGCUUACCAAGGCAACAAAUCGUAGCCGACAUGAGAGGGUGAUCGGCCACACUGGAACGGAGACACGGUCCAGACUCCUACGGGAGGCAGCAGUGGGGAAUUUUCCGAAAUGGGCGAAAGCCUGACGGAGCAACGCCGCGUGAGGAAGGAAGGUCUUCGGAUCGUAAAACUCUGUUAUUAGGGAAGAACAAAUGUGUAAGGAACUAUGCACGUCUUGACGGUACCUAAUCAGAAAGCCACGGCUAACUACGUG